UUAACAUGCGCAGAACUUAAAAUCCUAUUUCGAACCUCAUUCUUUCUAAAUCAAUUUUGGGACCUAGAGAGCUCGAAAUUGGGAGAUUUCAAGCAUUCUUCAAGAUUCGAUUUGGGGUUUUCGGACGAAACGGGAAUCGCGAUUUGACGAGCGUAAGGCGCCAACCAGGUACAGAAGAUCGUUUGGGUGGUCCUCCAGUUUAGGCUACUCAUUCUGCUGUGUUGGAGAGCUCCCCUUGAUCCGGAGCCUACUUUUGGUACAUACCUUCUGUUGUAUGUGUGUGUUCGGUACAUUUGUGGAUGUGUGGGUACGGCGGGGCCCUGUCCCGUCAUAUGUUCCUAUGUUCUGUUUUGUUUAGAGGCCUGUAGUCACAUUUGUGGGUCGUGGGUCCGGUGUGUUUGUAUGUGAGUCUGUUUUGCGAUCUUAAGCGGCCCGUACGCUACUAUGGCCAAAUCGGCCUCUGAGUUUGUAUGUGUGUGUGUGCAUUUGGGCGAUGUACAUUCCGCCCCU